UCUCCGUAGGUGAACCUGCGGAGGGAUCAUUACGGAGUUCUCGCCCUCGCGGGUAGAUCUCCCACCCACCGUUAUCGUUACUGUGUUGCUUUGGCGGGCCGCCGGGCCCCGCUCGGCCGCCGGCUCCGGCUGGCGCGCGCCCGCCAGAGGCCCAGCAAACUCUGAAUGUUAGUGUCGUCUGAGUACUAUAUAAUAGUUAAAACUUUCAACAACGGAUCUCUUGGUUCUG
rnacentral:misc_RNA from 1 species